CAGCUUUCUGCGUGGCAACCAGAGACUAGAGCUGAAGAGGCCUCCCUAUGAUGGAAUGGGCACCCUCCAGUUUGCCACAGUCUUUACCAUUCUCUGUUGUCUCAAACUACACUCUUGGCCUGUUUUUUUUUUUUUUUUUUGCAGGUAUUUGAGUUUGAGUUCCUUGAUCUCUGCAUAUGAUUUUCUGAUCCACUCUCCCUCCAGAAAAUGGAUUCCAGCUUUUGUAGUAACUUAAGACAAAUAUAUAUCGUGAGACAGGGUCUUGGCUGUGUUAUUCAGGCUAGUCUUGAACUCCUGGGCUCAAGCAGUCUUCCUGCCUUGGCCUCCCAAAGUGCUGGGAUUAUAGGCAUGAGCCACCUUGCCUGGCCAAUUCCAGCUUUUGUAAGUCUUUUGCCUUGGAAGUGGCUAAGGCUCAGCUCCUGCUUUUGUUCCAUCUCACUAUUACCCAACGUCAGGUGGCUUCCCCAACUCUUCAAGGUUGUGGAAAGGGUGCGUAUUUUUUAAAAAAAAUCUUACGUCGUGCAUCUUCCUUCCUUCCUAGAGGUCCUGGAGAGGUGAUGAGCUGGGGCAAAGUGAGCGUCUACGGAACUUUCCCCACAGUAUCCUCCAGUGACUGAGUCUUUCUCUAGAGACCCCCCUCCUCUAGCUCAACUUCCUGACCCCCUGUGGUCUUACAGAAACCUCUUGGUCCAUGGAGGAUAGUAAAAACCUGAGAACUGAAAUGUAUCCAUGUUCUCACCACGUAGUAAUUCUUACACUUGUUCUUCCAUCUAUGGAUUCCCCUUUUCACUCACCUCCUACAUCAUCCAUCCACUUACUCACUCAACAGCCAUUCACCUGGCUGGGCGUGGUGGCUCAUGCCUGUAAUUUCAGCACUUUGGGAGGCCGAGGUGGGUGGAUCAUCUGAGGUCAGGAGUUUGAGACUAGCCUGGUCAAUCCCCAUCUCUACUAAAAAUACAAAAAAAUUAGCCUGCAAUCCCAGCUACUAGGGAGGCUGAGGCGGGAGAAUCGCUUGAACCCAGGAGGCAGAAGUUGCAGUGAGCCUAGACCAGCCUGGGCAACAAGAGUGAAACUCUGUCUCAACAAACAAACAAACAAACAAAACAGCCAUUCACCUACGACAUGCCAGAUGCUGUAAAAAACCUCAGCAAGUCUCCU
rnacentral:lncRNA from 10 species